UACGAAGGGGGCUAGCGUUGUUCGGAAUCACUGGGCGUAAAGCGCACGUAGGCGGCUUUCUAAGUCAGGGGUGAAAUCCUGGAGCUCAACUCCGGAACUGCCUUUGAUACUGAGGACCUUGAGUCCGGGAGAGGUGAGUGGAACUGCGAGUGUAGAGGUGAAAUUCGUAGAUAUUCGCAAGAACACCAGUGGCGAAGGCGGCUCACUGGCCCGGUACUGACGCUGAGGUGCGAAAGCGUGGGGAGCAAACAGG
rnacentral:rRNA from 1 species